rnacentral:rRNA from 1 species
CCAGACUCCUACGGGAGGCAGCAGUGGGGGAUAUUGCACAAUGGGGGAAACCCUGAUGCAGCGACGCCGCGUGGGCGAAGAAGUAUUUCGGUAUGUAAAGCCCUAUCAGCAGGGAAGAAGAAAUGACGGUACCUGAAGAAGAAGCCCCGGCUAACUACGUGCCAGCAGCCGCGGUAAUACGUAGGGGGCAAGCGUUAUCCGGAUUUACUGGGUGUAAAGGGGGCGCAGACGGCAGCGCAAGCCAGGAGUGAAAGCCCGGGGCCCAACCCCGGGACUGCUCUUGGAACUGCGCGGCUGGAGUGCAGGAGGGGCAGGCGGAAUUCCUGGUGUAGCGGUGAAAUGCGUAGAUAUCAGGAGGAACACCGGCGGCGAAGGCGGCUUACUGGACGGCAACUGACGUUGAGGCCCGAAAGCGUGGGGAGCGAACAGGAUUAGAUACCCUCGUAUU